UAGGGAAUCUUCGGCAAUGGACGGAAGUCUGACCGAGCAACGCCGCGUGAGUGAAGAAGGUUUUCGGAUCGUAAAGCUCUGUUGUAAGAGAAGAACGAGUGUGAGAGUGGAAAGUUCACAUUGUGACGGUAUCUUACCAGAAAGGGACGGCUAACUACGUGCCAGCAGCCGCGGUAAUACGUAGGUCCCGAGCGUUGUCCGGAUUUAUUGGGCGUAAAGCGAGCGCAGGCGGUUAGAUAAGUCUGAAGUUAAAGGCUGUGGCUUAACCAUAGUACGCUUUGGAAACUGUUUAACUUGAGUGCAAGAGGGGAGAGUGGAAUUCCAUGUGUAGCGGUGAAAUGCGUAGAUAUAUGGAGGAACACCGGUGGCGAAAGCGGCUCUCUGGCUUGUAACUGACGCUGAGGCUCGAAAGCGUGGGGAGCAAACAGGAUUAGAUACCCUGGUAGUCCACGCCGUAAACGAUGAGUGCUAGGUGUUAGACCCUUUCCGGGGUUUAGUGCCGCAGCUAACGCAUUAAGCACUCCGCCUGGGGAGUACGACCGCAAGGUUG
rnacentral:rRNA from 1 species